GGCUUAGAGUUUGAUCAUGGCUCAGGAUGAACGCUGGCGGCGUGCUUAACACAUGCAAGUCGAGCGAAGCACUUUUGUUGAUUUCUUCGGAUUGAAGCAACUGUGACUGAGCGGCGGACGGGUGAGUAACGCGUGGGGAACCUGGCCCAUACAGGGGGAUAACAGUUAGAAAUGACUGCUAAUACCGCAUAAGCGCACAAAACCGCAUGGUUUUGUGUGAAAAACUCCGGUGGUAUGGGAUGGCCCCGCGUCUGAUUAGGUAGUUGGUGAGGUAACGGCCCACCAAGCCGACGAUCAGUAGCCGACCUGAGAGGGUGACCGGCCACAUUGGGACUGAGACACGGCCCAAACUCCUACGGGAGGCAGCAGUGGGGAAUAUUGCACAAUGGGGGAAACCCUGAUGCAGCGACGCCGCGUGAAGGAAGAAGUAUUUCGGUAUGUAAACUUCUAUCAGCAGGGAAGAAGAUGACGGUACCUGACUAAGAAGCCCCGGCUAACUACGUGCCAGCAGCCGCGGUAAUACGUAGGGGGCAAGCGUUAUCCGGAUUUACUGGGUGUAAAGGGAGCGUAGACGGAGCAGCAAGUCUGAUGUGAAAGACCGGGGCUUAACCCCGGGCCUGCAUUGGAAACUGUUGAUCUUGAGUGCCGGAGGGGUAAGCG
rnacentral:rRNA from 1 species